rnacentral:rRNA from 1 species
GACGAACGCUGGCGGCGUGCCUAAUACAUGCAAGUAGAACGCUGAAGGAGGAGCUUGCUCUUCUGGAUGAGUUGCGAACGGGUGAGUAACGCGUAGGUAACCUGCCUUGUAGCGGGGGAUAACUAUUGGAAACGAUAGCUAAUACCGCAUAACAGUAGAUGUUGCAUGACAUUUGCUUAAAAGGUGCAAUUGCAUCACUACCAGAUGGACCUGCGUUGUAUUAGCUAGUUGGUGGGGUAACGGCUCACCAAGGCGACGAUACAUAGCCGGCCUGAGAGGGUGGUCGGGCACACUUGGACUGAGACACGGGCCAGACUCCUACGGGAGGCAGCAGUAGGGAAUCUUCGGCAAUUGACGGAAGUCUGACCGAGCAACGCCGCGGGAGUGAAGAAGGGUUUCGGAUCUGAAAGCUCUGUUGUAAGGGAAGAACGAGUGGGAGAGUAGAAAGUUCACGCUGUGACGGUAUCUUACCAGAAAGGGACGGCUAACUACGUG